ACCUCAAAUCAGGUAAGAGUACCCGCUGAACUUAAGCAUAUCAAUAAGCGGAGGAAAAGAAAAUAACAAUGAUUCCCUUAGUAACGGCGAGUGAAGGGGGAUAAGCUCAAAUUUUAAAUCUGAUUGGUUAUACCUGUCAGAGUUGUAAUUUGAAGAAGCGUUUUCCGCGUCUCGGUUGACCCAAGUCCUUUGGGAUAAGGCAUCAUGGAGGGUGAGAACCCCGUUCGGUUGACCUUAUGACGUUUUACGGUACGCUUUCAAAGAGUCGAGUUGUUUGGGAUUGCAGCUCAAAAUGGGAGGUAAAUUUCUCCUAAGGCUAAAUAUUGGCGAGAGACCGAUAGCGAACAAGUACCGUGAGGGAAAGAUGAAAAGAACUUUGAAAAGAGAGUAAAAUAGUACGUGAAAUUGUUGAAAGGGAAACGAUUGAAGUCAGUCGUACCGACGAGAAAUCAGCUCUUCGAGUGUGAACUUGUGGGCGUGCUUGAGUCUUUAACGGGCCUUGCUGUUUGCAAUGUUUGUGCUUUUUGGGUGUUCUUUUUCGUAUGGUUGGCCAACGUCAGUUUCGAUCAUCAUAAAAUGAUCAGAGGAAUGUAGCUUCGAUCUCGUAUUGAAGUGUUAUAGCCUUUGGUAGAUGUGGUGAUUGAAACUGAGGAUUGCAACGAAUACCCUUUGGGCUAUCCGUCUGGCCUCUGAAUGUUGCCUAGGUGCCGAAAGCGUGCUUACGGUUAUCUAAGGUGGCGGUCAAAAGGCUAGAACGUGAUUACAUUCGUUAAGGAUGUUGGCGUAAUGGCUUUAAACGACCCGUCUUGAAACACGGACCAAGGAGUCUAACAUAUGUGCGAGUGUUUAGUAUUGGGGAUCC
rnacentral:rRNA from 1 species